rnacentral:rRNA from 1 species
GACGAACUUUGGCGGCGUGCUUAACACAUGCAAGUCGAACGGAAAGGCCCUGCUUUUGUGGGGUGCUCGAGUGGCGAACGGGUGAGUAACACGUGAGUAACCUGCCCUUGACUUUGGGAUAACUUCAGGAAACUGGGGCUAAUACCGGAUAGGAGCUCCUGCUGCAUGGUGGGGGUUGGAAAGUUUCGGCGGUUGGGGAUGGACUCGCGGCUUAUCAGCUUGUUGGUGGGGUAGUGGCUUACCAAGGCUUUGACGGGUAGCCGGCCUGAGAGGGUGACCGGCCACAUUGGGACUGAGAUACGGCCCAGACUCCUACGGGAGGCAGCAGUGGGGAAUAUUGCACAAUGGGCGGAAGCCUGAUGCAGCAACGCCGCGUGCGGGAUGACGGCCUUCGGGUUGUAAACCGCUUUCGCCUGUGACGAAGCGUGAGUGACGGUAAUGGGUAAAGAAGCACCGGCUAACUACGUGCCAGCAGCCGCGGUGAUACGUAGGGUGCGAGCGUUGUCCGGAUUUAUUGGGCGUAAAGGGCUCGUAGGUGGUUGAUCGCGUCGGAAGUGUAAUCUUGGGGCUUAACCCUGAGCGUGCUUUCGAUACGGGUUGACUUGAGGAAGGUAGGGGAGAAUGGAAUUCCUGGUGGAGCGGUGGAAUGCGCAGAUAUCAGGAGGAACACCAGUGGCGAAGGCGGUUCUCUGGGCCUUUCCUGACGCUGAGGAGCGAAAGCGUGGGGAGCGAACAGGCUUAGAUACCCUGGUAGUCCACGCUGUAAACGGUGGGUACUAGGUGUGGGGUCCAUUCCACGGGUUCCGUGCCGUAGCUAACGCUUUAAGUACCCCGCCUGGGGAGUACGGCCGCAAGGCUAAAACUCAAAGGAAUUGACGGGGCCCCGCACAAGCGGCGGAGCAUGCGGAUUAAUUCGAUGCAACGCGUAGAACCUUACCUGGGUUUGACAUGGAUCGGGAGUGCUCAGAGAUGGGUGUGCCUCUUUUGGGGUCGGUUCACAGGUGGUGCAUGCCUGUCGUCAGCUCGUGUCGUGAGAUGUUGGGUUAAGUCCCGCAACGAGCGCAACCCUUGUUCACUGUUGCCAGCACGUUAUGGUGGGGACUCAGUGGAGACCGCCGGGGUCAACUCGGAGGAAGGUGGGGAUGACGUCAAGUCCUCAUGCCCCUUAUGUCCAGGGCUUCACGCAUGCUACAAUGGCUGGUACAGAGAGUGGCGAGCCUGUGAGGGUGAGCGAAUCUCGGAAAGCCGGUCUCAGUUCGGAUUGGGGUCUGCAACUCGACCUCAUGAAGUCGGAGUCGCUAGUAAUCGCAGAUCAGCAACGCUGCGGUGAAUACGUUCCCGGGGCU